rnacentral:rRNA from 1 species
AUUGAACGCUGGCGGCAGGCCUAACACAUGCAAGUCGAACGAGUCGCGGACGGGUUAGUUAUGUCUGGGACACUGCCCGCUGGAUGGGGAUCACUAAUGGAAGCUGUAGCUAAUACCGCCUACCAUCGGAUGGGCCCAGAUGGGAUUAGCUUGUGGGUGGGGUAAAGGCUCACCUAGGCGACGAUCCCUAGCUGGUCUGAGAGGAGUACCAGCCAAACGGGAACUGAGACACGGUCCAGACUCCUACGGGAGGCAGCAGUGGGGAAUAUUGGACAAUGGGCGCAAGCCUGAUGCAGCCAUGCCGCGUGGAUGAAGAAGGCCUUCGGGUUGUAAAGUACUUUAAGCGGGGAGGCGUUACCAGCAGAAGAAGCACCGGCUAACUCCGUGCCAGCAGCCGCGGUAAUAC